rnacentral:rRNA from 1 species
UGACUAAUAUUGGGCAAGUGGUGAAAGCCUGACCCAGCAAGGAAGAGUGAAGGACGAAGUACGUCGGGAUGUAAACUGCUGUCAGGGGUCCGCAAGCGAAGGGGUCCAACAGGCCCUGGAGUUGAGCAGCCCCAGAGGAAGCCUCGACUAACUCUGUGCCAGCAGUCGCGGUAAAGCCGAGGAGGCCAGCGUUGGUCGGAAUCACUGGGCUUAAAGCGCGUGUAGGCGGCUUAGAAAGUGUCGUGUGAAAUCCCGCGGCUCAACCGCGGAACUGCACGGCAAACUACUUGGCUUGAGGUCGGUAGAGGUGCCUGGAACUCUAGGUGGAGCGGUGAAAUGCGUAGAUAUCUAGAGGAACGCCAGAAGCGAAAGCGGGGCACUGGGCCGAUUCUGACGCUGAGACGCGAAAGCGUGGGGAGCAAACA